CUGGUCGGGGAGCCGAGGGCCAGAUGGAACAGAAAUUACAUUUGUCUCCCCUCUUUUCUAAUUCCUCCUCCUCCUCCUCCUCCUCCUCCUCCUGCUGCCGCUCAGAAAACCACCUGAUAAGUCACAGGACCCGGAAAUGUCAGGGAAAACCGAAAUGGGUCCGAGCUUCCUCCUUCUGGUGCGGGGCUCACUGCAGACUGAGCGGACCAUGUCGCUGCUGUUCAUCCACAGCUUGUUGUCAUCGAUGCUCAAGAUGCCCUCAUGCCAGGAGCCCACAUUUAUGUAGUCAUAGCGACCAUCACCUACACUCUGUAGGUUCAUGAUGUCGUACCUGGAUGGGCAGAGGGAGAGAGACGGAGGACCAUAAUGAGCGGAAACACCCUCCUCAUCUUCUUACCUUCCUGGGGUGUCUCCGUUUUCAUCAAAAUAAAUCUCCUCCCCUGACACUCCUCUGAAGGACGUCUUUAAGAGGUAGUCCAGAAGCUUGCUGCCAUCGAUGGGGUCCAUGGCCUCACAGAGCCCCGGCUGCCCGGGGCACAACUCCUUGUGCAUAUCAUGGAGGCCAUGAGCCAUGGCAUAGAUGGCAUUGAUGACGAAGCCCAUCUUACUAUCCUGAACAUAGUUUUCAUGCAGACUUUCAUUUCCUGUGAGAGAGGAAAAGAAGAGGGCAUCAAACGGUUUGUCUGGUGUUUUGUGUUGUAUUCAAGGAGCAGUUACA